AUGACUUGGACAAAAUGCCAACUGCCCCUGGCUCCUGCUUUCUUCACCCAGUGCUGCCUUAUUGGACUCCUCGUGCCUUUCCUUGGCUGGGGAAAUCAGAAUCCACAGUGGACACGAACAAAAUCUUUGGUAAUACAACCAAAGCUUUGCCUGGAUCUCAUAUUUGAGAAUGAUGCUUAUUCGAUCAGAUAUGACCAGUCGCUUUUAAGGAACUCAAGUCGACCUUAUGGGACCAAUGCUUCGAAAGAGCCUCUUGUGAAAACUGGCUUGAAACCUGGCUUUGCAGGGUUCACAGCUUUGCAGCAGCAAUCCCUUCUCAUGGCCCUGACAACUCAGGUCUUUCAUGCAUCUCCUGCUGCUGAGCCUCCACUGAGUAUCAGCUCAACAUCUCACCUUUUCCAUGAAGCCUUUCCUGGUCUUUGCAUUCCUCAGUGCCUUCUUGUCCCUAUAACUCAAGUAAGUUACUGCUUAUGCCUCUCACUCAGGCUGAAUUGCAUUCUGCAUUGUAAUUCCCCUUUACAGAAUUUUUACUGACCUUGGACAAUGUAAUUUUGUUAACUUGUGAGUGUAUGUGUUGUCUUUCCAAUAGGAACCUGAACACCUGAACAGGGUUCUAUCCCACACUUCACUGGCUGCCUCCAGUGCCAGAUGCAGGUUGCUCUGCCUCCCCAGGCCUCAGGGAACUCAUGUUGAAUUAGCAACUGAACAGCUUACACAAUAGCAUUUCUGCACCAUAGAACUAAAUCGUGAUUUUUCUCAUCGUAAGUCUUGCUUCCAAGAGGUCUCUAACUUAUUUGGUUGCCAGUGUCACUCAUUAUCGUUCAGGCUACAAUCAUUUUUCAAAAAACAACUGAGAGCUUCCAGAGGUUUGACCAUAUGACAUUUUCAGAUCAGCCCUUAAAAGCACAUAUUUCUAGAUGCUUUAUUAUUAAUACAAAUUAUGUGCAAAUGAAUGUCAUAACUUUCCCCUACAAAGAAAUUUUUUUUUCUUUUUUGGCAUUACUCAGACCUUGAGUUUGACAAGCCUGCUUUGGAGAUAUUGGGUAUUUGUGGAGAGAGUAAUAUAAACAUUUACAUAAAGAGGCAAUUCGACUUACAUUCAACACCUUUUGGGUGCCAGGAAUUGCCCAAGGGACUUCAUACAGACUGUAUUGUCCAGAGGUAUUUUUCUUCUAUUUUUUUCUGAAGCUCGUAUGGUAGAAUAUUUUGAAGCAUUUUAUAGCCUCUUGUGGGAGCUUAAAAAGAAAGAAGGAAAACUCAUGUCACUUCAUUUUGCAAUUAAUUACUUCUGGGAAGACUUUGCCUUGUAAUUAUAGUAUUUAUCUCUAUGUAUUUAUUAUUUUUGAUUGUUUCUGUCUUGUAUUCUCUAUUCAGAAGCAAAAAUUGGAUACAAAAAUAGUACUAAUCUUGACUAUAUGUCUCCAGGCAUGUAAUCUACUCUCCAAAUUUCUGCAUUAAAUGAGAUGAAAUAAAAUAUUUAUGUUACUAUUAAUAGAGGUUAAA
rnacentral:lncRNA from 13 species